rnacentral:rRNA from 1 species
GAUGAACGCUGGCGGCGUGCCUAAUACAUGCAAGUCGAGCGAACGGACGAGAAGCCUGCUUCUCUGAUGUUAGCGGCGGACGGGUGAGUAACACGUGGAUAACCUACCUAUAAGACUGGGAUAACUUCGGGAAACCGGAGCUAAUACCGGAUAAUAUUUUGAACCGCAUGGUUCAAAAGUGAAAGACGGUCUUGCUGUCACUUAUAGAUGGAUCCGCGCUGCAUUAGCUAGUUGGUAAGGUAACGGCUUACCAAGGCAACGAUGCAUAGCCGACCUGAGAGGGUGAUCGGCCACACUGGAACUGAGACACGGUCCAGACUCCUACGGGAGGCAGCAGUAGGGAAUCUUCCGCAAAGGGCGAAAGCCUGACGGAGCAACGCCGCGUGAGUGAUGAAGGUCUUCGGAUCGUAAAACUCUGUUAUUAGGGAAGAACAUAUGUGUAAGUAACUGUGCACAUCUUGACGGUACCUAAUCAGAAAGCCACGGCUAACUACGUG